CAGAAACCCUCUGGCUGCACAUCCGGGCCCUGGGCCAAUGGACCAACAGGCUCUACGAGUACUUCCAGCAGCUGGAAUCGCACGGCCCGGAGCCGAAUCCGCCCGGGAAGAGCCGGGAACAGGAAGGAUCCGUGGCCUCGGGCAGGGACGGAGCCGUGGAGCUGACGGCAUUCCGAGCCUCCGGAGCCGCUUUUCCGGGAAAGGACCCGGAGCAGGGGGGCUCCGGGCCUGGGGAGAGCCGGCGCAGCUGCAGCGUCAAG